UACGUAGGGCGCAAGCGUUGUCCGGAAUUAUUGGGCGUAAAGAGCUCGUAGGCGGUUUGUCGCGUCUGUCGUGAAAGCUUGGGGCUUAACCCCAAGUCUGCGGUGGAUACGGGCAGACUAGAGGCAGGUAGGGGAGAACGGAAUUCCCGGUGUAGCGGUGAAAUGCGCAGAUAUCUGGAGGAACACCGGUGGCGAAGGCGGCAUCCUGGACUGUAACUGACACUGAGGAACGAAAGCCAGGGGAGCAAACGGG
rnacentral:rRNA from 1 species